AGGAACAGCUUGCUGCUUCGCUGACGAGUGGCGGACGGGUGAGUAAUGUCUGGGAAACUGCCUGAUGGAGGGGGAUAACUACUGGAAACGGUAGCUAAUACCGCAUAACGUCACAAGACCAAAGAGGGGGACCUUCGGGCCUCUUGCCAUCGGAUGUGCCCAGAUGGGAUUAGCUAGUAGGUGGGGUAACGGCUCACCUAGGCGACGAUCCCUAGCUGGUCUGAGAGGAUGACCAGCCACACUGGAACUGAUACACGGUCCAGACUCCUACGGGAGGCAGCAGUGGGGAAUAUUGCACAAUGGGCGCAAGCCUGAUGCAGCCAUGCCGCGUGUAUGAAGAAGGCCUUCGGGUUGUAAAGUACUUUCAGCGGGGAGGAAGGGAGUAAAGUUAAUACCUUUGCUCAUUGACGUUACCCGCAGAAGAAGCACCGGCUAACUCCGUGCCAGCAGCCGCGGUAAUACGGAGGGUGCAAGCGUUAAUCGGAAUUACUGGGCGUAAAGCGCACGCAGGCGGUUUGAUAAGUCAGAUGUGAAAUCCCCGGGCUCAACCUGGGAACUGCAUCUGAUACUGGCAAGCUUGAGUCUCGUAGAGGGGGGUAGAACUCCAUGUGUAGCGGUG
rnacentral:rRNA from 1 species